AGAGAUGAUCCUAAUCCCUGAACCUCAGCAAUUGUUUAAGUACCUUAAGGAAUAGAUUGAAAUGUUUUAGUUUGAUUCUGAUCUCUGAUCAAGAGGACAUUUUCCUAUGCAUAUAUUCUAAGGUAGAAAUUUGUUCAUAUUUGAUCCUCAUCCCUGAACAGGAGAAGCAGUUGUCCAAGAAGAACUGUAAGUUGUGUAAUGAAAUGUUCUCAUUUGAUUCUGAUCCCUAAAACUCAAGAGAAUGGGCCUUGGAAUACUAUGGUGUCUGCCAUAAAAUGUUUUGAACUCCGCAAUGAUCCUAGUCCUUAAAAUACAGAAGGAGUUGUUUUUUGGAAUAACCCAAGACAUGAUAGAUGAUCUUGAUCCCAAAAUUAGAGAAGAAUUUAACCUGGAGUACCUAGAGGUCAAAAGUGAAAUGAUCACAGUUGAUCUCAAUCUUUAACUAAGAAUAAGAAGACUUUGAAAUAGAAAAGCUCACUGGAGAAGCAGUUGUCAUUGAUGUACCCUAGGUGGGAAGUGAAUAGGUGAUCCUAAUCCCUGAACCAAAGAAGCAAAUGUUCUUGCGGGGCCAUAAUAUUAAAGUGAAAUGUUCUCAUUUGAUCCUGAUCCCUAAACUAGAGAAGCUAUUUUCCUUGGAGUAACCUAAGGUGUAAAGGGAUAUCAUCCCAAAUGAACCUGAUCCCUUAAGUUUUUUACCUAAUCCCAGAUGAUUCUUACACCUGAACUGGAGAAACAAUAGACUUUGGAUUUCCUUGGUUACAAUUUUCAGAUGACUGGACUCCUGAACUUGAGAAGCAAAUUGAAGAGGCAAUAACUGGUGGAGUAACAAUGUAAAAUAUGACUUGUUCUUACUUGUUCCUGAUCCCUGAACUAGAGAGGCAAUUGUCCAUAUAUGCCUGAAGAUGUUAAGUGAUAUGUGCUGUGAUUUUAUCUUGAUUCCUGAAUGGGAGAACCAGUAACAUAGGAUGUGAAUUGUGAAGUGAAAUGAUCCCAGGUGAUCCUUAGAAGCAAGUGUCCUUGGAGUACCCCAAGGUAUAAAGUGAAAUGACCCACAUGAUCUUGAGGUCCAAACUACAGAAACUUUUAGCUUGAGGCACACUCUUAUUCUUGAUUACUUAUUUAUCAAGACAAAAAAAUCCAACAUCUCCUGGAAUCUAAGCAGUGGAACCAAAGUUAGGAAUUUUCCAGGUUGUGAAUGCAAGCAUUUAUGAUGAUAAUGCUUCUGAAAUUUGCCGUACUGUUACCUUGCAGUGUUUCUUUAUUACUGGCUACUGUAAAUUGUAUGUAUUCUCAGAGAUACCAUGACAGAAAAAAAUGUGAAUUGAACAGUUAUCUAUGCUAUACUGUAUAGAAGAAGAGGAUGCUCUGUUAAGAGGUUAACAAAUGUGGAUGCAGAAACAGUUUAAAGUACCGGUACAGAAGACAAAAGUUGAUAUUCUGGAAACCAUGAUGUGACAGUAUUCCAAUGCAGUUCAACAGAAAUUUUUGUAAUAACCAUGAUGCAUGUCUCUCCAGAGUAGAAGAUUUCCUCAUGGUUGAUGAAUCCUAAUUAAAGUAUAUCCUGCUUUGAACCUUCCAGCCAGGAUAUAUUAUUUAUGAUAAUGAUGUGCUUCACUUCUAAUCAGUGUUUGUCUGCCUUAAAUUUAGACUGAACUAUGUGUGAUGACAGACCAUGAAGGAUCAUUUGCUGAGUUGUAUCAUUUUAAAGGACCGAACAGUU
rnacentral:sRNA from 1 species